rnacentral:piRNA from 1 species
UGGUCGUUCAUGUUUGAAAUGUAAGUGGCC